AGCGCGGACUACUGGACUUCUUUAGUCUCAGCUACGUGAAGCUUGAGGAUUCAGGAAUGAAGAAGAGCCUGGAUCCAAGUCUUUCAAGACACCACAUCCCCACCCUGGAUGCAGCCAAUGUCAUCCUGAGGAUAUCACCAUGUUAAGGGAUCUUGCAUGGAUGAAAAA